CGCGCAGUUUUCUGUAGCAAUACAGGAGGCGGGCGCGUGGCGAACGGGUGCGUAACACGUGGGCAACCUUCCCUUCGGUGGGGGAUACCCCCGCGAAAGCGGGACUAAUACCGCAUAACACUCCCUUGGUUAGUUCUGAGGGAUUCAAAGCAGCAAUGCGCCGGAAGAGGGGCCCGCGGCCGAUUAGCUAGUUGGUGAGGUAACGGCUCACCAAGGCAAAGAUCGGUAGCCGGUCUGAGAGGAUGAUCGGCCACACUGGAACUGAGACACGGUCCAGACUCCUACGGGAGGCAGCAGUGGGGAAUCUUGCGCAAUGGGCGAAAGCCUGACGCAGCGACGCCGCGUGGGGGAUGAAGCUUUUCGGAGCGUAAACCCCUUUCGACCCGGACGAAUGCCCGCAAGGGUUUGACGGUACGGGUAGAAGAAGCCCCGGCUAACUACGUGCCAGCAGCCGCGGUAAAACGUAGGGGGCCAGCGUUGCUCGGAAUUACUGGGCGUAAAGGGUCUGUAGGCGGUGCGGCAAGUCGGAAGUGAAAUCGCAGGGCUUAACUCUGCGGCUGCUCCCGAAACUGCCGUGCUCGAGUGUGAGAUAGGCGAGUGGAAUUGCAGGUGUAGCGGUGAAAUGCGUAGAUAUCUGCAGGAACAUCCGAGGCGAAAGCGGCUCGCUGGAUCACAACUGACGCUGAGAGACGAAAGCUAGGGGAGCAAACA
rnacentral:rRNA from 1 species